rnacentral:rRNA from 1 species
AUGGAUGAGCCUGCGAUUGGAUUAGCUAGUUGGUGGGGUAAGGGCCUACCAAGGCUACGAUCCAUAGCUGAUUUGAGAAAAUGAUCAGCCACAUUGGGACUGAGACACGGCCCAAACUCCUACGGGAGGCAGCAGUGAGGAAUAUUGGACAAUGGGGGCAACCCUGAUCCAGCAAUGCCAUGUGUGUGAAGAAGGCCUUAGGGUUGUAAAGCACUUUAGUUGGGGAAGAAAGCUUUGAGGUUAAUAGCCUUGAAGAAAAGGACGUUACCCAAAGAAUAAGCACCGGCUAACUCCGUGCCAGCAGCCGCGGUAAUACGGGGGGUGCAAGCGUUAAUCGGAAUUACUGGGCGUAAAGGGUCUGUAGGUAGUUUGUUAAGUCAGAUGUGAAAGCCUAGGGCUCAACCUUAGAACUGCAUUUGAUACUGGUAAACUAGAGUACGGUAGAGGAAUAAGGAAUUUCUGGUGUAGCGGUGAAAUGCGUAGAGAUCAGAAGGAACACCAAUGGCGAAGGCAACAUUCUGGACCGAUACUGACACUGAGGGACGAAAGCGUGGGGAUCAAACAGGAUUAGAUACCCUGGUAGUCCACGCUGUAAACGAUGAGUACUAGCUGUUGGAGUCGGUGUAAAGGCUCUAGUGGCGCAGCUAACGCGAUAAGUACUCCGCCUGGGGACUACGGCCGCAAGGCUAAAACUCAAAGGAAUUGACGGGGACCCGCACAAGCGGUGGAGCAUGUGGUUUAAUUCGAUGCAACGCGAAGAACCUUACCUGGUUUUGACAUCCUGCGAUCUUUCUAGAGAUAGAUUGGUGCCUUCGGGAACGCAGUGACAGGUGCUGCACGGCUGUCGUCAGCUCGUGUUGUGAAAUGUUGGGUUAAGUCCCGCAACGAGCGCAACCCCUAUUGAUAGUUACCAUCAUUAAGUUGGGUACUCUAUUAAGACUGCCGCUGACAAGGCGGAGGAAGGUGGGGACGACGUCAAGUCAUUAUGGCCCUUACGACCAGGGCUACACACGUGCUAC